CCCUACGGGAGGCAGCAGUGGGGAAUAUUGGACAAUGGGCGCAAGCCUGAUCCAGCCAUGCCGCGUGAGUGAUGAAGGCCCUAGGGUUGUAAAGCUCUUUCACCGGUGAAGAUAAUGACGGUAACCGGAGAAGAAGCCCCGGCUAACUUCGUGCCAGCAGCCGCGGUAAUACGAAGGGGGCUAGCGUUGUUCGGAUUUACUGGGCGUAAAGCGCACGUAGGCGGACUUUUAAGUCAGGGGUGAAAUCCCGGGGCUCAACCCCGGAACUGCCUUUGAUACUGGAAGUCUUGAGUAUGGUAGAGGUGAGUGGAAUUCCGAGUGUAGAGGUGAAAUUCGUAGAUAUUCGGAGGAACACCAGUGGCGAAGGCGGCUCACUGGACCAUUACUGACGCUGAGGUG
rnacentral:rRNA from 1 species